GAGGUAGCGAUGGAGACACAAAGUUGUGAUUCAGUUUGUAGUUCAAUUCAGUUAAGUAUUUAAACGGAGGACCGUUGGCGGGAACGCACCACAACCGCCGAUCUCAGAUCCAUCGCUCGCCAGACGCUCAUACCGCUUCGAGGAAGAAAGGAGUCCUGGCUACCGUUUAUCUUCAAUUGGACGACGAUCCACCACGCGAGGGUCACUGUCCCCUUUCCGACAAACCAACCUUCUCCGCAACGCUUCUGUUUUCGUUUUUAGCUUUCUUUUCUCUCAUUUUGUAAGGCUAUAAAGCCAUGGUCCUAACUUGUGGAGAGCAUCACUUUUUCUAUGGUUUCCCCCUUCUUGUGCCGCCAGUGUUCCUGGAUGGCUCUUAUGUACCAGCUUGUAAGGAUUCUACCUUAAUUUCGCUAAGGAAAUGAGCUAGUUCGAGCAAUCUUCUAUCUUUGUUCGAGUUUC
rnacentral:lncRNA from 1 species